rnacentral:lncRNA from 1 species
UUAUUUAUUUUUAACUUAGAUGGUGUCAUCAGUUUGUGGUAUUUAGUUAAGGAGGAAGUUGACUGUCAUUGACUGCACAGAUUUUGUGUUAAAUGGUUUCAUUGAUUGUAUUUUUUUAUCCAUUAGUGUUCUGUAAUUUGAUGCGUGCAAUUUUUUCCAGCGCAUCUUUAUUUACCAUCCUCUGCUUGCUUUAGGGCUGGGUCGGAAGAAGUAAAAGAAAGAUUAAAAGCUUUCGGUGCUGAUGAAGUGUUUACUGAGAGCCAACUAGAAGUGAAGAAUGUCAAGGGCCUUCUGGUAUCAUCAUUUAUGGACACACUACUGUUGAUUGUAGGGAGAUAUUUGUUCUUCCACAUAUGUAUUCAUUUUUCUUUUGUUAUUUUUAUUAGUUGUAUUUUUUGGUUGUUCGCUCAUCUUUUCUGUUUUACUUGUAAUUGACAUGCUAGUCAAAUAUACCUGAACCUACUCUGGGAUUCAACUGUGUUGGGGGAAACGCUGCUUCUUUGGUUCUCAAGUUCUUAAGGUCUGGCAACAUGAGGACCUUGUGUAUUUCCUUUUAGUAAAAAUCAAACUACCCUUGGAAUGCUAACUAAUUUGUCAUUUCAGGCAGGGAGGAACCAUGGUAACAUAUGGUGGAAUGUCCAAGAAGCCUAUCACUGUAUCAACAUCAUCGUUCAUAUUCAAGGUAAACCAGGGCUUACCUGUCUUCUUUCGUAUUGCAGCUUAGUGAUGUGCUGCUGUUCGUCCAAGUAUUACAUAAUUUCACGUAGAAUAAAAGUAGCUUCUGAAUUUAGAAAGUAUUUGUGUUCUCCUAUAUCUUUGCAGGACCUUUCCUUGAGAGGAUUCUGGCUACAGAAAUGGUUAAGUGCAGAUAAAGCGAAAGAAUGCAGAGAUAUGGUAGAUUACCUUCUGUGCCUGGCACAGGAGGGGAAGUUGAAAUACAAGUAUGUUUUCGUAGAUGAUCUCACUUUCCAUCAGUUAUUCAAUUCUCAUGUACGUAAACCAUUCUGCUCUUCCUUGCAGGAUGGAGUUGGUUCCGUUUGACAAUUUUCACACUGCAUUGGACAAGGCGCUCGGGAAACUCGGGAGUCAGCCAAAACAAGUGAUCAAAUUCUAAUCUCGCAUCAUCCUUCAUCGAUUUUGAAUGUUGUAGUGUAGUUAUGGAGGCCAUCCCAUACUCUUGGAUUUUCAUGUCCCAUGAUUUAGAUAUUUCUUUAAAUGGCUUUCCAUUUACAAUCAGCAAGAGGUCUGAACGACUGAAAGUUGAGAUGCAACAAAAGCUGGGAAAAAUCUGUAAAUGCCUUAAGCAGCCGUACAUUUUUAAUGACAAUAAUAGAAAAAAUUAAGAUUAUGACUGUGUUUGGACAUCACAAGAUCUGAUUCUUACUUCCCACAUCCCUGCUGCACACAAUACACGUCUUUGAAUUGGAGAAGUAAAAUGUAGAAAAAAAAUCAAAACCAAUUCUCUUAAACAGCAUAUAUCAGGUUUGAGUCCGAUUAAGAUAUUGAAUCUAAAGGAGGGAAGAACUUGAAUGGGUGAAUGUAUCUAAUCCUUCUGGUUCAGCUGCUAAUUUAUGGUUCGUAUGACUCAUUUCUCAGAAUGAAGUUCACAGCGUCUUCCACAGUGUCAACAACCUGCAAUUGGAAACAGCAAAGAGUUUUACAAUGGCGCUUAAUUUCUAGGAUUGAAACCAAAGAUAUAAUUUGGCCACACAAGUACCAGAAAGACCCUUGUGAAUUACUUCAAACAACUUAAGGUUCUUAUAGAGUUGGUGUGGUAAUGAUGCAUUAUUGAGUUUGAGUUUAAGUUUCAAGUGCCUACCAGAUUGGCUGGAAAUUCCACAUGGUUAGAUUGACGAUCUCCCUUAAAAACCCCGGUCCUCGUCAAGAUGGGAAACCAAGGGUGCCCGGCCUGGAAUGUGAACCAUGAAAGCACAUUGUAUUAUCUCUCACCAUUAACAGUGUUAAACGAUAGAGAUUUACAAAAAUAUGCAGUUACAACCGGUCCAAGAGAGACAAACCUGCAUUGAACCUUUGAUGUCAACAAAAGGAUUAUCUCCUAUCAUAUAUAGUGUUCUGAAAUCGUGACUUCCAGAGUGUGCAUGGUCAUGAUAAAGGGAUGAGGCUAGCAGCUUUAGCACAACUUCAGCAUUCUUAAAUGCAACUGGAUUUGGCUUUCCUAAGGAUGUAUACCUCAGGGCUUCGGAAUGAAUGCUGCAAGUUUAAUGUAGUGGCAUUAACGAAAGCCAUCUCAGGGAACAUAAGCUGCCACCAAAUAGUAAGGCGUAAUGACAGAGUGAUAUAGUGCUUCUUGAAUUAUAGGCAUUCCUAGAGGGGUCUAAAAUAUAGGCUAUGGCGAAAUAAUCAUUUUCAGAAAAAUUUAAGAGGAAAGCAUAGUAAUCAUCUAAUCCUAACCUCAGAGUAGAAUCCUCUUUCCAUAUACCUUCUUUCCUCACCUAUUGAAGAUCGAUUCCAAUGCAAUUCUGAAAGCUCCCAUGCCAAAACGCUCAGAAGGAAAAGCACCCUACCUUUACUGGUAUAUUAUCAGUACAUUACUACUAGUAGAGAAAAGGAUCCAAAAAAAAUGAAGAAAAGCAACUGAUUUUAGAAAAUAAAUCAUAACUAACCUGGUAUUUAAGGUCAUCAUGUGCAAAAUACAGAGGUGGUUGAGGUCCUUCUUCACUUCCAGGAAGACCUCCAGUUCUUAAAAUAUCACAAAGAACCUAACAUUAAAGAGAUUCUAAUGCUAUAAUUAGUCAAUCUAGAGGAGGUCCUCUCAAUGACUGAACAUGACAGAAUUUGAUAUGAUUAAAUAAUUAAAUUGUUGAUGACAACCUGAAUGUCCCUGCUCCAGUCAACUGAAUCACUAACAAUAAACGCUGCCUGAACUCUCUGUGACUUAAUGCUGCAUUUUCUAGUGCUGUUGACAGCAGCCUCCAUGGUGUUCCAUUUCUUGUAUGGUGCCAGCGGAUCAAUGCUUUCGAAGCAUAGUGCAUACUCAUCUAUCGGAAUCACAUUCCUGCAUAUAAAUUCAAAUGACACGAGCCAUUAGGAAUUUCUACCCAAAUCAGCUGUGAAAAACAUCUGGACUAACAAAUCAGGAAGCACACUCAAAAGCUUACUUAAAUCCAUAUUCGGACAUCACUGCAGCAGGUUCACCUUUUCCCACAGCAACAAUUAGUUCAUUCUCAAACCUGUAUGACAACAAGAAGAAGAUAUAAUUAGUGAAAAUUAUGAGACAAAUAGAUUCCAUAAUUGAAAAGCAUAAUGCUUGACUCUUGAUUGGACCUUUCCUUUCUUUAUCAAAAAAUAAAUAAACACUGAUUGAUAGAUAAUGGGUUUUCUCCAAGUUAACAAUUGUCUCCACGAAAAGUACACUAAGACACAAGUCCUAGAAGCCUUUACAACAAGUACAUGCAGUGCCGUACUUGCUAAAACACUUUGGAGCACGUUCACAGGCCUUGGUAAAUUAAAUCAUACCUGUUCACCAGCUGUUUAAAAGGUGAAUGACCCUGCACAACCUAGAAUGAGUAAACAGGCAAAACGGAUUUCAUUAGCCAUUACUACCAUCAUCCACAAAGCUUUCUCUAAAGUAAAAUGUAAUGGAUUUGAAUAAAAUCGAAAAAAGAUAACCAUUUUCAUAGGAAAAUACCUGUGAAGGAGAAAUCUCUACACCAAGGAGCUCUGACAAUUCCACGGCUCUCUUUGAUUCACGAACACCACCUCCUGCCAAAGAUGUCAAAGAUUGGAAGUUGGAACCAACAAUGCUUAAUUGACUACACUACAUCAAUCAUUAAACCAAAAAUCAGAAAUUAAAAACUAUGUCCAUCUUGUGCCUAAAGGCUACCUAGUUAACAGCCAUAACACACACAAAACAAUCUUUCACUUAAGUGCUUGGUCAGUAGCAAUGUAAACUUAAAAUACAACAGCCAGGAAGGAACCAAGAAAAAGUAAACAAAUUAUGAUCGAUGAAAGAGCUUUAAUGGCAUGGUAACUAACAUAGAGGAUUCACUCACUCACCAUUUGUCAAGAAAAUAAAAGGAAUCUUCAGGACACCUGCCCAACAAAAUGAACUAAUCAGAGUCUAAUGUUCUAGCACAGACAAGAAUUAACGAUCAAACACAAGAAAUUAAUAAUAAAGGUUUCAAAAUUAAUUUAUAACAUACGUAUAUAAGUACGUAUGCAUACCGGAGUCAUCGUAUAAUCUCCGGAGAGCUCGCGGAGCGCCGCCGAUGGGAGUGUUGCCGCGUAAGACGACGCCGUCUAUAUCAAACGCAAUGCCGAAAGAAGGCCUGCUUGUAUCCGUAAAAAGAAACAAUCAACGGCUCGAAAUAGAAACUAGUUAUCGGGAAAAAUUCCAAAAGACAAACGAGAAAAUGGAAACGCACGGCGUCGAUUGCUGCAAAGAAAGUUGAGAGAUAGUGGAGAACAGCCGCGACAAUUGCUUUCUCGAUCGAGUCUGCGAUGAUUUUCUCAACAUUUGAAGAGCAAUCAUCUUCUUCUUCUCUCUCUCUCUCUCUCUCUCUCUCUCUCUCUUUGAAAUUUUGGCCGCUCACUUCUGCUGAAGAAUAGCGAGCGAAACAGUAAAAGAAGAACAACGAAAGAAGAAUUGCGAGCUUCUGCUUUCCUUUCCAAUCAGAUCGUGCCACGUGGGUUAAUGUCUUUUUUAUAUAUUUUUCUUAGCUUUUUUUUUGGGAGAACAAUAUUUUCAUUGAUUUUACGUGUUAUAAAAAUUAAUUAAAACAAUAAAUUUACAUUAAAAAUAUGCAAUAAUUAUUUUUAUUUUGUAUAAAAUCAAGUAUUCCAUAUCACUUUAUAUAUUUAUAAUUUCUUAUCGCUUCAAAUAAUUUAUUAUUUUCGUAAAAAAAUUCUAUAAAACAAAAUUUUCACUAAAAAUCGAAUCAUAAAUACAUUUCAUACACAAAACGAUAUCUAUUGGAUGCUUUUUCAUUUUUAUAAAUUCAUCUCACAUCGAACAUUUCAUUAUUAUCAUGACAAACGUAUCGAAAUAGAAAAAUUUUCUCUAAAAAUGUAAAAUACAUAUUUUUCUUUCACACCAAAGCUAUUAAAAUACAAAGUUUACAUGAAAAACAUAAAGAUAAAUGCUUUUUUUUUUUGGUACAAAAUUAUUUGUCACUGUGCUCCCAUGAAUUGUUUGCAUGAAAAUUGAAAACAAAGUCUAUAUAUUGCUACCCUUUGUUUUGUUAUUGUUUCUCUUGUAAAAUAAACUGGAUGUAAAAAAUAUACAGACAUAUCCCAUACACAACAAGAGGCCAAGAGACCCUAGCCAUCUUUUAUACAGACAUAUCACCCUUAAGAUGAUUGGAUUCCUAAAUAUAAUAUGAAUCCAUUAACUCCCAAAUAAACCCAAGAAACAAACACCCAUUCUACCAUCUCAAAUCUCAAUACCUCCAGGGAGAACCUAUCUCCCUGAUUUUUUUUCUGCUAGAACACAAGUCAUCUUGAAUUUAUACAUAAGCAAGCUUUUUCACCAAAACCAACCUACUUUACUGAAGCAAAACAGCAUAAAACAAAAUCGGGAGAUGCUUGUUAGCGACUUCAUUCGAGCAUCUUAUCUUGAUUGAAGUUCAAAGACUCCCUCCAUAUGAGCUCUUUUAUGUCUUCUUCGUUCAAGGUCGUCUGCUCGAAAUCAAAGAUGAAAGGAGAUGGACAAGUGGGCUCCUCGUUGAUCUCAUGAAGACUUGAUAAAAAUGGGUGAUUCAGUGCUUGGUCAACUGUAUAUGCAACAUAUCAAAAGACAGAUGUUUCUUGUCAGAAAAAUAAAUGAGGAACAAGAAACAAGUACAUUGUUGAAGUGGCAUACUAAGGCAUACCAGUGAUGCGCUUGCUUGGAUCAAAAACCAGCAUUUUCUCUGCAAGAUCAAUUGCCACAGGAGACACAUCUGGAAACUUUUCUGCAAAAGGCCGCUUUGGGAAUCGAGGAAGCUGCCUAACAUACUUUCGAGCAUUGUCACUCCUAAGGAAUCCAAGAUCUGAAUCUUCCGGUGAUCCUAGUAGCUGUUUUAUGAAAAAAUUUAAAAAAAGAAAAAGAAAAAUAUUAAUAUAUAUAUAUAUAUAUACACAGGUAUUACUAUCAUGUAUUCAGUGUCCAAAAAAAAUUUGCAACCUGCUUCAUGCUUUUCUUCACCGAGUGCCUAAAAAUGGCUGUUAUUUUGUAAACUACAACUACGCUAUAUUAAGUGCUCUUCCAGGAAACCAAAGUAUUGGGUUUGGGAGUGAACAAGUCAAGAGCGAUGGAUACCUCAGUAAUAAGCCCCAACUGCUGAACAUAGUCUUUACCAGGAAAAAGUGGCUCCCUUCUAAUUAUCUCCAUCAAAAUACAACCAACUGACCAUAUAUCAAUAGCUGCAGUAUACUCUGAACAGUUGAGGAGCAACUCAGGGGCCCGAUACCACCUGGUUACAACGUACUCUGUCAUGAAGUCUGUCUCUGAGGUGGUUCUUGCAAGACCAAAGUCACAAAUUUUAAGAUCACAGUUUGCAUUGAGAAGCAGGUUGCUAGGUUUUAGGUCUCGGUGCAAAACAUUUGCUGAGUGUAUGUACUUCAGGCCCCGCAACAGUUGAUAUAGGAAAUACUGCAAAAACCACAAUAUUGCUUCAACAGUUGUGAAAUUAUAGCCUGAUUUAAACUAGCGCACAACUAUACAAUUGUAAUUAAGACUCAAAUAGUCAGACAUAAGCUCAUAUUUUAAAACUUGCAUUGAUGCUGCAGCAUGACAUAACACAAUUAUAAACAAUUGAACAUGACAUAUCACAUGACACUGGUAACAUCACGAACUACAACAUUGUUAUACAAUAAUAAUGAUAUAAGCAUAUAACCCACCUGAUAGUGAUCAUCAGUGAGAGGCUGGCUAGACCGUAUUAUUUGAUUGAGAUCAGUGUCCAUUAGCUCAUAUGCAAUGUACACAUCAUUGAACUUUUCCCUCUCCGGUGGCAGUAUGAUGUCCUUGAUUUUGACAAUCUGCAAAAUAUUAAUGCAACACUUCAUCUCUCUUCCAUGGUAUACCACGAUGAUAACAAAUAAAAGCGAACAAUGUAUUAAUAAAAACAAACAAAAUUUAGAAUUUAAUGAGUACAUUAUCAUGAUCCAUGUGACAAAGGAGCUUGAUCUCACGGAGUGUUCUUUUAGCAUCAAUCCUGUUCUCAAAUGCAUUUGCAAUUCUUUUAAUCGCAACCUCUUCAUUUGUCUCGGAAUUCCUGGCACAACUGCAGUAAGGAAAGCAACAAUUCUCUCAAUCGCAAAAUUCAAAAACAUUGACCCCAAAAUAUUGAAUUAAAACUUUCAUCUCUCAGUCUCUCACAUGAAAGCAAAUACGGCUGUCUGCAUAUAAUAUUCAAAUGACUUGAUCUAAGUAAAUAAACCAUAAACAAUGAAAAUCUGUUUUCUGUUUUUCCCUAAAGUGUGCAUUUUUUUAAUGGGUAGGAGACACCUAUACUAGUAAUUCAAUUGCCUGAGUAAAUAUUAUAACUUGUUGAAACAUCAAACUCGAACAAACCCAAAGCUCAUUGCUAAUUAUAUUCGUUAAUUUCUCUAAAAGGGUCACUAAAAAUUCUCUUUUUAUACCACUUUAAGUAGCUCUGUCUAAUCACUAAAAUCCCAAAAAUAAAACCACAAAAUUCAACCAAUUUAAUGAAUCUACAGCUUUAUUUUUAAGGGAAAUAAAACGUAUUUUUUGCUUCCAAAAUAGAAGAAAAAAGCAGAAGAUUACCAAACGAUGCCAUAAGCGCCACGACCAAUAGGCUGAAUAGGAGGGACGUACUUAGAAGAAACCUCAAAGAUGAUACCUAAUACGUCGUAACGGACAUAUCUGCCACCAUAUGUUGGGAUUCCUCUGCUAUCGACCGCCAUUGCUUCGUUCUCCAUCUUCUUCUUUUUUUCACUUCCCUCAAAAACAAGCUCAAAGAAAAGCAAAUGAAGAAAGGAACAAAAGGGCGUGCUUUUAUGGGAGAAGAAAAGUAAGAGAAAGCGAAGAGAAGGGCCAUUUGUGGUUUUUGCUUUUUGAUUGGGGUUGCUUUGGGUGGUUUUUGAAACUUUGAAUUUGAACGUGGAAAAAGGAUAAAAAAGUGAAAUUUGUCUAAUGAAACAGGGAGGAAUGGACUGUUGACCUUGAAAGGCCUUUGGAAUUGGAGUGGACGAAGACUUUACCUUUCAUCGCCUUCUACGUCAGAGUUGAGAAGUUUCUUUGAUAUUUAGGUGAUGUCUUUUUAUUUGUAUAUAGAUAAUUUUGAUGAUUGAUUGGACUUGGUUCUGUUUGGUUGCAAGGAAAAUAGCCUGGAAAAAAUGUAGCUCUCAUAGAAAAGUGGUGAAAAUAAAAAUCCAUUUAUUUAUUUUAAAUAUACUUUUUGGCUCAUAUUUCUUCAUAUCUUGGAUUUUUUUUUUUUAAACAUCAUUAAGAUUGCAACUCUUGUAUUUUCCCUCUUUAAAUUUAGUACAAAUGGUAAUAGAGAGGAUAUUUCAAUAUAUUUUGAAAAUUUUGUAAGUGUGAACGCCUACAUACACACAGUUAAUUGAUGAUUUAAUAAUAAUUUCGUGAUAAAAUAAUAUUAUAAUAAAUCAAUCUAUACUUAACUCACACCAAGCCUUUUUGCAAAGAGAUAGGCAAGUUAAGUUGGUCGAUGGCAAUAGGAGUAAGAUCAAAUUAAGUGAAGGAGAAUGUUACUAUUAGCAUUUUUAGAGAAGGAGAAGCAAGAUGGUCAACCACAACGAUGAUUUUGUUGGAUUAAGUGAAAAUGAAUGUCAUUAUAAGUACUUCAAAGGAAGUAUACAACAGGCUUCAAUCUUACAUCAGGCACGUAAAGGGAUAUUGAAACAUUUAUAAGCAUGCAUAUCUUAUAAAGCUAAUGAAAAAAAGAUAACAAACUCGUGACAUAAAAUUAAUUUUAUGUUAUAUUAUAUUUUUUAUUUUAUUUUUUUAAAUGUACUAAAUUUUAGUAUAAUAUUUUUUAAUUUCAUUAUAAUAAAUACUAUUAAAUUGUACCAUACUCAAUAAAAAUAAUUUUAAAUUUUAAUAACUUUUGUCAUUCAAAACUAAGUUUUUCAUUUGUACUGUAAAAAAAAAGGAAAUUGUAAAAAAACUCCCUCCCUUGUACAUUUCAUUUCUCCUUUAAAGGCCUGUUUCGGGCAAAUUUUGGGGGUCCAGUGCGGUGGGACCACCCUCCCACCUCACCGGCUCGCCCUCCCAAACACGCCAGUGGACCUUUCCAUCCAAAUUUUGGAUUCAAAAAAAUAUAAUGAGCCCACACUAUCAUUAGGUGGGCCACAAAAAGUUUUCUUAUACCAGAUGUUACAACUAUUUGGGCUUCAAAUAAAUGAGCAAAAAUUGGGUUUAGGUUGGGCUUCAGAGAAAAAAAAUUUAGAGUUUAGACUUUCUCUAACGUUGAUUUGAAAAUUUUGUACAAAACAUAGAUUUUAAGUAUGUUUGAGUUUAGGUUAAUCGGGUUUUGUAUAUUAAGUAUGAAGAUAUGAAUAAAUCAUAUUUUAAUUGUGUCAAACUAGCUUAACUUGUCUGCGACACAAUUAGUUAAUCGUGUUAUCGUAUAUCUAUAUAGCACAUAAUCUGUUUAUUAUUUAGUUAUUUAAUUAUGUUCAUGCGUCGUGAAGAUACGUUUAGUAUACGGUUAUGACCCAUUUAUUGAUUUAUAUAAAUACUAAUAGUUUUAUAAUGAUUAAAAUUUAUUGAUAUUAAACUUUAUUAUAUUUAAUAAAUAUUAUGAUAUAUAGUUUUUGUUUGUAAAUUUGAAUAAUAAAAUUAUAUUUUACUUGUACAUAUUUUAAUUUAAUCAUUUUAAUCAUUUUAAUCAUAAUAAUUAUGUUAAUCAUGUAAUCGUGUUAUAAAUUGUAUAAAUUUUAAUCAUAUCAUGUCACAUAAAACUUAACUCUAAAAGUUUGAUAAACAUAUUUAUCUAUACAAUUAAAACAAGGAAACACGAAAAUUGUAAAGUCUAACUUAAUGUGCCAUGGAACCUGAUAUAUUAGAUAUGAUUGUAUAAUUCAUGUGUUUAGGAGGUUACGAAAUUGAAGAGAUGUUGAAGAGAAGAAAAGGUCAUCGCAUUUCAUAUUUCAAACUUGUCAACGUGAUUAUAACAGUUGACUGAAACUUUAAAUUUAAUCAGUGAGGUUACGGCACUGAUUAAUAUUAAUAUAAUAUUAAUAGAUUAUACCUCGUUCAUUUUUAUACAAUUCUCGAUUUCUUUUCUCGUAACAAAAUUAUGGAACAAUUUUCUUAAGAAAACCUAAGCAGUUGAAAUCAUGUGCUUAUGACUUUUCGAAUUUGGUUGACUUUGACAUGGGUUUCUUCUAAUUUUGCUGUCAAUGACUCAUAUACUGAAAUUAAAAAAAAAAAAAAGUCUUUAAUCAAUUAACCCAAGGAAUGAAUAAAGUCUUUUAACAAAUAAAUUAAGUUAUCACUUUUUGCUUAGUGAGAAAGCAACAUUAACUUCUAGAAAAAUGAGUUUCGGUUAUUAACACAUACAUCCCACCAUGAUUUUAAAUAAAUAAUAAAAAUUUUUUUUUUAAGGUAUCUAGAAGCAUGACAAUAUCUCAAAUGCACAUGUGGGAAAAUAAUCUUAUAAGUUUCUAGAAGGAACCUGUUUCCACCCCUUGGACACCCUCAUAUAAAACUUGGGAAUUUUGUCUUUACUUAGAUAAUUAAUUACGUAAUUAAAUUAGCUGUAUAGAUUGUUAUUCUUUGGAGGGAAUGAGCUAUAUGGGGGAGGGGAUGAGCUGUAUGGGACAUGAGAUAAUUAGGUCAACCUCAGUCCUUGACCAAAACAGAAGCAAAUUUUAUCUAAAUUUCAAGAAUUUCCUUUUUGAUUUUUCCCCAAAAAAUAUCUUUUUAUUACUUUUGGAGACUUUUCUUGGUUAUGAAAUAGGCUAAGUUAGUUUGGCCAAGGGUGCAACCAGAUGACUUAGCCAGUUCUUGACUCUAUGGUCAUGGCUAACAAUUUGUAUUCAAAUUCAUUGCACCGUUUUGCUUGACUGAGUAACAUCACCUUGAAGAUCAGUCCUAAUCUUCAAAGAAUUAUGAAAGUUACAUACUCUGAAAAAGCAGCUGUGGAAAAGGUACAAAUUGAAUAUGCAAUUCCAUGUAAACUUCCAUUGCCAUGUUUGAUCUUCAAGGAUGAAGGAUCUUGUCAUCUGGGGUGGGCAGGAUGACUUGUUCCUAACCCAUUGAACAACCAGGUUCACUGCAAUCAAGUACUAAGAAACAAUCAAAGUUUUUCUUAUUCUUAAAAGAUUUUCCAAGAGUGAAAGAAACUAGGGACAGCUUCAUCCAUGUGUUCAAGUUCUGAGAAUGCAAGAUUUAGGUAUCAAAGCAUAAGCAACGAAAAAGGUUUAAUCAUCUUUGUUUUUGCUUUAUGCAAAUGCAUGGAAUAUAUGUAAAGAUCAGAAGGGGGAAAGAAACAGUUUAAAUCUCACUAUAAUCUCAUCUUAUUUGAGAUUACAAAGUACAAAAGAUUUUGUGUCUGGAUGAAAUGAAUCAGGUGAAGAUUUUGUGUUUAAUUAAUCUCAUUUAAGAAGCAACAAUAACAGUUGUAGAAAGAUGACCAAAUCAUGAAUGUCAGCAAAUGAGCUAAUGCAUACCAAAGCUCAGAGGGUGUGUGGCGUUUGAUUGGAAAAAUAAGACCAAAGACAGCUUGGUUUCACACUUUAUUUUCUUAUAAUAAUGUUAGAUGUUGGUCAAAAUUUUCCUAAAUUCAAAACCUUUUAUCCUUUAAACCUUGUUUGUUUGUUCUUUUGGGUGAAAUAACUGUGCCAGCCAUUGGAUCAUAGCUAGCUCUACCACCACAAGUUGCAGAUAGAUCCAAUGAGACUGAAAUCAGAAGCAGCACUUCCUCCCUCAAACAGAAAAAUGGGUAAUCUGGGUUUAGUUCCAAUCAAAGUUUUUUGCAGACAAAACAACCAUAUCUGCAUGAGAGUUGAUAGCUUGGCAAGAUCAAAUGAAAAGGUGAUCCUUGGUCUUGCCUCUAAAUUAAGCUUAGAAAAAUUAGAAAAAGUAAGGUAAGCCCCGUUGAUUGCGUAAAUUAAUCAAAAACAUUUUAAAUAAGAAUGAUCCAUCAUCGUUAUCUUGUUAGUAUAUUUUUAUAUGAUUCGUAUGUUAUCAAAUCAAUAGUCCGAAAUACUUCAACCAUGACAGCAAACAUAGUAACAAAUUUACCCAAGUAGGUAGAUUUGCACAUUGAAAAGUUUGAUCUCAAUACAUUUUCGCUGCCAACUUUUUGAAAAGGAAAAUUUGGGACUAUACCUGAGAGGUAGUCACUUUAGGAGAAAUCAAUGAUAAGGUAAAAGCUGUUUUGGACUGAUAUGGGGAAGGCAUUAUCAGAUACAACGCUUAGCUGUUAAUAUGCAUUCAAAGUGAACAUGUAAACCACCAAAGAAAGAGUCAAACUCACUCUUUCAAGACAUAUUCCACCCCCCUCAAAGUGUUAGUCCAACAUUCAUACUUGACAAUCUUGUUAAACCUGAAUUAUAUGAUUUCUGUUCCUUUUCACGUGUGCUUAGCAGUCAUGCUGCUUUCCAGAGAAGAAUACGGCGACUUUGAAGUUUAACCUUGUCGGUUUUUCAGUUCGAACUUACCUCAACCACUCGUGGAGAGCCAGGUGGUGGGGGUUGGAAAUUCAAGCUAUCCAGUCAAAAUUUGAGACAGAGAGAGCAAAAGCAGAGCAAACAUAACGACAUGUCUCAUUCAAAAGAUGGUCCAACAGAUUAUAAAAAAGAAAAUGGCAAAAUCGUUUCUUUUCUCUGAUCAUCUUUGGGUACAAAGUUUGAGAUUCAAUGACAAAUAUAUUCCUUGCCCUUGUGAGCAGAAGCUUAAACUUCUUUUGAGCAAUGGAAAUUGACGGGGCUGGUGGUAGUUACACCAGACAGCAGAAUCAGUGAAUCACCAAUGGUUUAUUAUUGAUGCCCAAGAUGUGGAAAAAGGAAAUUAAAGGAGAGGAAGUUCGUAUAAGAAUAUAUACAUAAAUUUUAUUGGACAAAAUCGGUUAUCUAGUAUGCUACAUAUAUCAAAAAUGAUACAGGGUCUGUAUAUCAAAUCUACAAUCUUUUGCAUAAGAAAGAACAAAAAGAAAAAGGGAAAAGAAGGCAAAAUUAUAAGGCCACCAGUAAUUACAUUAGACCCUGUACAAAAGAUAUGGGAGUUAUUAUCAGCAAUUCAAUUUAAUGAUCAAUCUGAAUUGUAGCUAGUUGGGGUUGGAGCAGCCGGAGUGGAGUUUGAGCUGACGUCUGGACCACUUUCUUCCCUCUUCCUGGGCAUUGCCUUGGCCAUCGAUGCGAUUGAAGAAACUGAUUUGAGGAAACUCUUGAAGAUUCUGAUCUUAACUUGGCCUCUCCUUGGAGGGAGGGUUUGCUUUUGCUUCUUGGUGUUGCUGGAAGCAUUGAAUUCCAUUUCGUUCAAGUGGGUAUGAAGGUAUAGAUUCGGGUUGCAAACAGAGAGAAAACAGAGGAACUCAACAAGAGCAAAACAGAGAGAAAACAGAGGAAUAUAAAGGAGCUGUUGAAUCCCUCUGCUUCUUGCAAGGCCAAAAAAAAAAAAGAAGGGUUUUCUUCCUUUUUGUUUCUGAGCAGGAAAAUAGAAAUGAGAGAAAGUUUGAGAAUUGGAGAGUGUUGAGAGGUGAGAGAAGAUUGAGUGAAGCAGGAUUUUUGGAGUGCAGCUCAGGGAUUUUUGAAGAGAGCAAAGACCUGUUUGUGGGGAUCAGACUCUGUUAUUUCUUGGUGACCAAGUUUUCGAGGUUUGCUGAGUUGUACAUUGAAUAGAUUGUCUUGGGGGGGUUGGGACCGGGGGGUGGGGGGUGGAGUGAAUCAGGUGCUCAUAAGACCACUACAUAAGGAGAGCAUACCAUUCCAAUUCAAGCAUGAGAUUAUGAGAAAAAUAAUUAAAUCCCAAGUCAACAAUUAUUAAAUACUUGGAGCCAUACAUCUAGGAGUAUCACAAAACUUAUCAAUAGGCACUUUGCCAUUUUAAUCCUGUUUUUCUCCCACCAGUUAUUCUCCCUGGACAAUGUUUGACCAAUAUUACCUAAUCACCUAGAACAGAAGACUAGAGAAAACAAGUUUUUGUAACUCAUUGGCACUUUGUGCCAGUUUUUCAUCAUAGGAAGCUUCUUUUUGGAGUUAUUUUUUACCCUUUUUCACUAUCUUCUAUCUAAGUUAUUUGAUAAGUUUCACUUGAACCAAAUUUCAAAUCAAAUUUUCUAUGACUAAAAGAGAUUUGGAAAAAUGGGUCAUUAACAGGUUUCGCAAUUAGAUUAUGGAAGGGUCUAUACAAAGCAAUUUUGUACCCCAAAAAAUUAAGAUUCAUACAAGCAGUCAUCAAAAUAUGAACAGAAAUAUGGACUCUUCAACGGGAUGCAGUUCCAUUCACUCUGCAGAAACUAAACACAUAUAAUAAAUGAUGUUACUGUGUGAAUUGCUGUAUGAAAUUCCCAAGAACCAAAAGAAAUAUGAAAGGAAUUCUUGAGUCUGCAUAGAUAUUCCAAGAGUCAAGUAUGUGGAAGUGGAUUGCAGUUGCAGUAGACCUCUGCUUUUUGACCAAGCUUGCUAUAAGGAACCAUGGUUCUGACUUCUUAAUGUUGCAGGCCAAAGAAGAGGAAAAUGGACAAGGAGAUGCAAGAUUGCAGGAAAAAAGAAAUCACUCAGAACAAAAAUUCCAAUUGAAUUUACAGUAAAUGAUGGGUAAUCCUGCAAAUCAAAGUCCCAAAGCAAGCUCCUUUGAACAACUGGAUUAUGCCAUUAUGGUUUUCUCUCAAACACACAAAAAAAAAAAAAAAAAAAAGUUCUGAGAUCACCCCACUGGUUCUGGUCCUGUCAUGACAAAUGGGGUAGUAGUAUGACCCACAUGCUCCCUUCAUGGGCUGCCUCCUUGCCCUAAUUUCUAACUAUUUGGUAAUAAAUAAACGUCUACAUAAACAAGAUCCUCAUGGGGUUGCAAAAAUUCUUCUGUUAGAGGGUUAAAAAUUUCUUUGGUUCAUGAUAAAGUGAAGAAAAAGAUCAAAACACUUAAAGAGUCUCUUAAAUCUUGUUUGAAUGCUCAAAAAUAAUUUAAAUUAAAUCACUAUGAGUAUAAUAUCUUACUAGUAAGUUCCAAUUUCACUUUAUUUAUUUAGAAUCCUGAAAUUCUAAAAACUAAUUUUUCAAAGUUUUUUUUAAUUUCCCGAAUAACUCUAGUUCGUUUUUAUUGUAUAAAUUAUUAAAUUAAUAAAAACUCAUUUUGAAGCUUAAAAAAAAACCAAAUUUAAUCUCCCAAUCCUGAGCAACACUGCAAAUAGUCAACUACCUUCAUACUCCACAACGUGUGGGGACAAUAAAAUUGACAAAUCUAUUGAAGAAUUAGGCAAAGAUCUAAAGUUGACACAAAGCUUUCAAGAUAGCAUUGAUUAGUUCCAAUAAAUUUUUCAAUGAGGAUACUCUUUCCAUUCCAAGUGAAACAAUCCCAAUUUUUUUUUUCUCAUACAUGAAAUCAUCUCGAUUCAUGAUGAUUUUGAUGAAAUUCUUAUGGGUUUCUACUACUAAGAAAAUUCUACUCUGUAAACUAUUAUGUCCCUCCACCAUCUUAGUCUAACUAACUAAUUUUCGUUUCAAGUACAUAUUUUUUUUUAACGUAAGUUUUACUUAUAUCUCUCCUUAUUUCAAUUUUUCUCAGGUGUCAUGAUGGUUCUGUUUUCUCAAUUUGCAAAUUCUGAAUGGCUUUUUCUUUGUUUUCAAUUCUAUAGAUAGCUUCUAUUAUGGUUAAGACUUAGGUUAUUAAUUUUACUUGAUAAAAUUAUAAAAUCACCUUUAAAUGUAUUGAAUUGAUAGUAUUUUGAUCAUCUUAUUAGAUAAAAUUAACACUUUUAUCUUAUUUUCUUACGUGAUAUCAUGUGAAAAAAAAUUAAAAUUAUAAAGGGUAUAAGUAAAAUUUAUCUUAUUUUCUUUUAGAUUUCAUUUAGUUAAAGUAUAUCCAGAGUCUUUGGAAAGGAUAGUGAGUAGUAAUUAAGAAUGUUACUUGCGGAAGAAAGCUGGCCACAGACCACAGUGGUAGGCCAUGGAGUUGCCUGAUGGUAGUAAUUUUCUCAUCGAUUGCUUUCACAAGCAAAAGCGGUGGUGCGGGCACAUAGAUGUUGAAAUUUUAACACAACACUAAUCCUAUCCCAAAUUUGAAAGUACAUAUCAAAAUAAAUAGUAAUGGCUAACAUUGUGACUUAUUUUAGAUCUCUUUUUUCGAAACGCGUUUUCGCUUUUCAAGUAUUUAACGUCAAAAAAAUCAUUUAAAGCAAAAUAAUUACGACAUAUAUAUAUAUAUACAUAAUAAUUAUUAUUAUUAUUAUGUUUUUAGGUAUUCAAUUCUUCUUGUACAAUCGUUAAUAAAAUAAAUUAUUCACAUUCACCAAAGGCCAAAUUCAGAAAAUAUAUAUACUUUCUGAUAUAUAUAUAUAUAUAUAUAUGAGAAAAAUGGGUAUGGUCUAAAAAUAAAUAAAUAAAUUUUGAGUUUGGGACAAUUGAUAGAUUUCAGUCCCUCAAAUCAAUAAACAGUAAAUCAAGAGAUAAUUAGGGUAAACAGAUUGUGAUGCAAACUGACUGAAAUUUAUACUUAAAUAAUUAUUAGUAGUUAUUAAUGACAAGGAAUGUGUUAGUUGAAUGUGAUGACUUGUACAAGUUUCAACUAGGAGAAAUCACGCGUAAAAUUGACUUGUGCCAAGUCCAAAGAAGAGUCCGUCGUUUUGUAAUCGAAAGUCAAAAAAAUAAAUUCAAUUAAUCUUUCGAAAAAAAAUGAAUUACUUCUUCUCCAUUUUAUUUAUUUAUUUUGGAUUGAAUCACUCAAAUUUAUACGAUGCCAAUUGCAACAAUGCGAAUAUUUUGGAUCUCGAGUCUGCGAUGUCAUGUCUCGAGAUAUCGAUUUUAGAAAGGAACAUCGACGAUAAGAUUGGGUUGGUGACGUUCAGAAUUUGUUACUUAUCGUGUGAAUCUCGCAAAACUUGUCUGUAUCUUUCCGAUUUCAUUCGAGUAUCAAGGUUAGACAACUUCUUACUCAGCUGUCAAAAAGAUUCCGCGUUCUUUUUUUCUUCAAACAUAUAUCUUUUAUCCACGCACAUAUACGUAAUGCUUAUCAUUUACUUAAUUAAUUAAUCCCAUCUUGAUUAAAAAAAUAUUUUUACUUUUUAUCAUGAUAUAAAAAGACUUACUUAACUAAUAACGGUCUACAUAAUCGUACUAUUGUAUUUACGAUAUUUACGAGUCAUGAUAGUUAUCUUGAUUCUCGAUUUUUACACUUACAAGUCGUCGUAAUCAUUUUUACGAGUACUUGUACCUGACAAAAGAAAUGUUGUUGCAGUCCACAAUACUAAAGGCAACGUACGUCAAGAUAUUCUAACAGACUGUCUUGCGAUUUAGUAAAAAUAAAUAAAUAAAUAACUACUCUUUUUAGCAGAGAAUAUUCGUCACCGUAAUUAGAUUUACCUUUUGAAAAUUUUCUUUGACAAGAAUAGCAAGAGAAAAAUUAUUGAAGAAAGAAGAGUGGGGGAUUCGAAGUUGCCAAGUCAAACGCAAGAGCCCUUUGUUUAGGAUUAAGAAAAAGGGAAGAAUAUUGGAGUGCACAUAAAAAGCAAAAAAGACCAUUACCCUGUUUUCAUGUUGUUAUAAAAUCGGAUUUGAUUGAUUGACCUAUCGAGGAAAAUGGAGAGCAUGGAUAAGCCCAAGCUCCUUUUCUUGAGAAUCAGUCAGCACGGAAAUCAUUUGCUGAUUAUCAACAUGAAAGAAAAAGCAAAACCAAGAAGAAAACAGAGGAAAGACUAAAAGGAAAAGUAAAAACAGAGACAAAGGUAUACAAUCACCUGCAUCUUCUUUUUUCUUUUUUGAAGAAUAGUUACAAUUUUUUUUUUUUUUUGUACAAUAGAAAGGCUAAAUUCACAUCUUAAGGCUAAAAACAUACAGGGUCUGCACUAGAAAUAGCCCUAAGCAAAGAAAAAGGAGAAAAGAAAAAAACAAAAUAAAAUAAUGACUAUAAUGGCCAGGCUUUGAACAAAUCAGACCCUAUACAGAAAAUCAUAGAGAAAAAAACUCAACCCAAUGAGUCGAGUGAUCCAUCUGAGUUGUAAUCAUUGGGGGUUGCAUGUCCCGGGGUUGUUGAGCUUGAGCUAAGUCCACCUCCUCUUUCCCUCCUCGCCCUCCUUCUCCCAGAACCCGUCGACAGAAAAUUUGCAGCUGAUUUCCAGAGGCCCUUGAUUAUCCUGAUUGUAAUCCGGCCUCUCUUGGGUGGGAGUGGGAAGGUCUGUUGAGGCAUCUUGGUAAGUUUUUAGAAGUUUUUUUGAGGUAACAACAGAAGAAGUUAUGUGAAGAAACAGAGGAAUCCAGGCAGAGGAAACAGGGGAAAGGGGUUAUGGAGCUAAACUUCUCUUAUAUUCCUUGCAAAAGAAAAGGAUAGUAGUUUCCUUUGCUUUAGUUUGGAGAGUUUUGAAACAAAAAGACUGAAAAUAGUUAAAGAAACAAAGAAGUGGAAGAGGGAUUUUUCAAGAGAAAACAGAGUAUGAAUUUUUAAGAGAGGGGAAUGCAAAAUGGAGAGUGGGAGAGAAAUUUGUUGAGUUUGA